AGCUACUAGUGCUCUAGAUGCAGAAAGUGAGCACAAUGUUAAGAUAUCUACUUUUGGCAAAUAUUCACAACCUCCCCUACUCCCUUUCUAUGCCCAUAAAAAGAAAGUAAAGGGAAUUAACAACUUAUGAAAAAAAAAAAAAAAGAAUUUGAGAAGUAAUAGGACUUGCUGCCUUCAAUGUGUAAUUUGCCACCAUGUCUAGGGCAUUCUUCGUGCCAUUAGAAGUCACUUGACAACAAAGAGAACUGUCAUAGUAAUU
rnacentral:misc_RNA from 1 species